rnacentral:lncRNA from 1 species
ACACAGACACAGACUGUACACACACCCACAAUCCAUUGGGGAGCAGGUCGAACGAGGCAAAGAUCGUGCCCAUGCGGUUGGUUCGGUUUUCGGAAUUGGAUAUGUGCACUCCCCUCUCUCUCUCACCCUGCCGCGAUCUCUCUCUCUCUCUCUCACCGUUUCCGUGCUGAUUGAUUAAUCAUUGCCUGUAAUUUGAUUUUGUGCCUUAAACCCUGCAACGGCAAGCCUCUUUUCAGCGCUUUGAUUGAUUGUUUCAUUGCAUUUUUUGAGUUUUGAGCUUUAGACAUACGACACGACAUGUGUUC